GACGAACGCUGGCGGCGUGCUUAACACAUGCAAGUCGAACGGAAAGGCCCUGCUUUUGUGGGGUGCUCGAGUGGCGAACGGGUGAGUAACACGUGAGUAACCUGCCCUUGACUUUGGGAUAACUUCAGGAAACUGGGGCUAAUACCGGAUAGGAGCUCCUACUGCAUGGUGGGGGUUGAAAAGUUUCGGCGGUUGGGGAUGGACUCGCGGCUUAUCCGCUUGUUGGUGGGGUAGUGGCUUACCAAGGCUUUGACGGGUAGCCGGCCUGGGAGGGUGACCGGCCACAUUGGGACUGAGAUACGGCCCAGAGUCAUACGGGAGGCAGCAGUGAGGAAUAUUGCACAAUGGGCGGAAGCCUGAUGCAGCAACGCCGCGUGCGGGAUGACGGCCUUCGGGUUGUAAACCGUUUUCGCCUGUGACGAAGCGUGAGUGACGGUAAUGGGUAAAGAAGCACCGGCUAACUACGUG
rnacentral:rRNA from 1 species